rnacentral:tRNA from 1 species
AAUGAAGUGCCUGAAAAAGGAUUAUUUUGAUAGAAUAAAUCAUGUAGUAACCCUACCUUUAUUA